rnacentral:rRNA from 1 species
GCGAAAACUUUACAAUGCUGGCAACAGCGAUAAGGGAACCUCGAGUGCCAGGUUACAAAUCUGGCUGUCGAGAUGCCUAAAAAGCAUUUCAUUGCAAGGGCCGGGCAAGACCGGUGCCAGCCGCCGCGGUAACACCGGCGGCUCGAGUGGUAACCGUUAUUAUUGGGUCUAAAGGGUCUGUAGCCGGCCGGAUAAGUCUCUUGAGAAAUCUGGCAGCUUAACUGUCAGGCUUUCAGGAGAUACUGUCUGGCUCGAGGCCGGGAGAGGUGAGAGGUACUUCAGGGGUAGGGGUGAAAUCUUGUAAUCCUUGAAGGACCACCAGUGGCGAAGGCGUCUCACCAGAACAGACCUGACGGCAAGGGACGAAAGCUAGGGGCACGAACC